rfam:Triticum urartu cultivar G1812 contig124349, whole genome shotgun sequence.
AAUGUACUCCCUCCGUCCCAAAAUUCUUGUCUUAAAUUUGUCUAAAUACAGAUGUAUCAAGUCCCGUUUUAGUAUUAGAUACAUCCGUAUCUAGACAAAUCUAAUACAAGAAUUUUGGGACGGAGGGAGUAAUUG